rnacentral:rRNA from 1 species
GACGAACGCUGGCGGCGUGCCUAAUACAUGCAAGUUGAGCGCUGAAGGUUGGUACUUGUACCAACUGGAUGAGCAGCGAACGGGUGAGUAACGCGUGGGGAAUCUGCCUUUGAGCGGGGGACAACAUUUGGAAACGAAUGCUAAUACCGCAUAAAAACUUUAAACACAAGUUUUAAGUUUGAAAGAUGCAAUUGCAUCACUCAAAGAUGAUCCCGCGUUGUAUUAGCUAGUUGGUGAGGUAAAGGCUCACCAAGGCGAUGAUACAUAGCCGACCUGAGAGGGUGAUCGGCCAAAUUGGGACUGAGACACGCCCCAAACUCCUACGGGAGGCAGCAGUAGGGAAUCUUCGGCAAUGGACGAAAGUCUGACCGAGCAACGCCGCGUGAGGGAAGAAGGUUUUCGGAUCGUAAAACUCUGUUGGUAGAGAAGAACGUUGGUGAGAGUGGAAAGCUCAUCAAGUGACGGUAACUACCCAGAAAGGGACGGCUAACUACGUG